GACAGAGGCCCCGAGCGUUAGGCGGAAUCACUGGGCUUAAAGCGUGUGUAGGCGGACCGGUAAGUACCUUGUGAAAUCCCACGGCUCACCCGUGGAACUGCUGGGUAUACUGCCGGUCUCGGGCCAACUAGGGGCAACUGGAACAAGCGGUGGAGCGGUGAAAUGCGUAGAUAUCGCUUGGAACGCCGAAGGUGAAACAGGUUGCUGGGUUGUGCCG
rnacentral:rRNA from 1 species